rnacentral:rRNA from 1 species
AUGUUACCAGAUGGUAGCAGUUCAAAGGCAACACCGCUGGAGAGCAGUCUGAGCACAGAUAUUAUAGUUCUUGAGGUUCUACUAGAGGCAGAAAGAGAUGGUGUGGCUGCCAUGAAUGAGGUAAUCUCGAUCUUGAAGCUGGAAAUCAUGCAAUUAGCUGCAUGGAUUAUGCAAGCAACCCAAGAAUUGGAGGAAGUAAGAAUGUUGCAUUUGAAGACGGAGGAGGUCCUGUUGCUUCUGCUAUCUGAAGCCCAGGGUAAUCCCAGUUCUUCUUUAGAUACCAGUUGA